rnacentral:snRNA from 1 species
AUACUUACCUGGCAGGGGAGAUACCAUGAUCAAGAAGGUGGUUCACCCACGAUCAACGUACUUGGCAGGGGAAUACUAUGAGUGAGAAGGAUGGCCUCCAAUCUGGCCACAACUGGUUCCAGGAGGAAUGCAGUAA